rnacentral:lncRNA from 10 species
CCUAUGGUAAAGAGAGGUCCCUUGUCAGCCAGGAACCCUAAGACAGUGAAGGAAAAUCUCUUCCUCCCCUAGAGCUUCUGGUACCCAAUGAAGGGCCACAUCAGCUGGGGACACCUUGCUCAGUCCAGAAGCUGCUGUUCAAAGAUCCUGGACUUCCCAUCUGACAAAAGCCAGCAGAAGGGAGAACGGACUUGCCUUGUCUUAGAUGAGACUUUGGAAAGUGGACUUCAGAGUUAAUGCUGAAAUGUGUCAAGACUUGGGCGACUGUUAAGGAGGGAUGAUUGUAUUUUGCAAUGUGAGAAGGACAUGAGAUUUGGGAGGUGCCAGAGGUGGAAUGAUAUGGUUUAGAUUUGUGUUCCCACCCAAAUCUCAUGUCAAAUUGUAAUCCUCAGUGUGGGAGGAGGAGCCUGGUAGGAGGUGAUUGGAUCAUGAGAUGCAUUUCCCUCCUGCUGUUCCUGUGAUAGUGAGUUCUCAUGAGAUUUGAUUAUUUAAGUGUGUAGCACCUCCCUCUGUGCUCCCUUCCUCCUGCUCUGGCUGGGCAAAAUGUGCCUGCUUCCUUUCUACCAUGAUUGAAAGUUUCCUGAGGCCUCCUCAGCUAUGCUUCAUGUACGGCCUGUGGAACCAUGAGCCAAUUAAACAUCUUUCUUUAUAAAUUACCCAGUUUCAAGCAUUUACUUAUAGCAGUGCAAGAAUGGACUAAUACAAUAAUAAAUGUAAAUAUGCCCAGAAGAAAAAUGAAAAGGUGUUAGCAAUGUAUCUCAAUAUGCUUACAGGCCAAUAUUUUUUUCAUGUCUUAAAAAAGGUGAGUUUGUCCCUCCAUACACAGGGUCUAACAAUCUCCAUCCUUUCGUCCUUCCUUUCUUCCAGGGGGAGGGAGGAGGAGUACACCUCUUUCAUACAGCCUCAGCCCCUCUCCUUCUUGCCAUCCUACA